AAAGCCAUCAAGCACGGCUUGGUGUUGGGCGUUUGUCCUGCCGCUCCGGCGCGGGACUCGCCUCAAAUCCAUCGGCGGCACGCGAUGUGGGCUUGCAGCACAGCAGAUUGUGCCGUUGCAAGCGUCCACUGCGGGGCCUGCCGCAAGGCCUCUUUCUCUGG
rnacentral:misc_RNA from 1 species